AUACGUAGGGGGCGAGCGUUGUCCGGAAUGAUUGGGCGUAAAGGGCGCGUAGGCGGCCCGGUAAGUCUGGAGUGAAAGUCCUGCUUUUAAGGUGGGAAUUGCUUUGGAUACUGUCGGGCUUGAGUGCAGGAGAGGUAAGUGGAAUUCCCAGUGUAGCGGUGAAAUGCGUAGAGAUUGGGAGGAACACCAGUGGCGAAGGCGACUUACUGGACUGUAACUGACGCUGAGGCGCGAAAGUGUGGGGAGCAAACAGGAUUAGAUACCCUGGUAGUCCACACUGUAAACGAUGAAUGCUAGGUGUAGGGGGUAUCGACCCCUUCUGUGCCGCAGUAAACACAAUAAGCAUUCCGCCUGGGGAGUACGGCCGCAAGGUUGAAACUCAAAUGAAUUGGCGGGG
rnacentral:rRNA from 1 species